GCCAGCGUGGCAUAGUGGUUUGAGCCUUUGACUAUGACUCUGGAGACCAGGGUUCGAAUCCUGGCAUGGCCA